CAGAAAUCUAUAUAUAGAUACUGUUGAUUACCCAAAUUCCAAUUUCAUGUAAAAUAUAAAGGCUAAUUCCGGGUUGAGCUUAACUCUAUUUGGGGUUCCAACAGGGUUAGAUAUUGGUAGCGCAUAUUACAGCCUUACAGCUCAGCUAUGGAUUACACUAUUUGCAUCAGCAAUCCUACCUUGUGGGAAGUAUCUUAGGUAAAUCGUGAGGGCCCAGGCAACCUCUAGUCAGUCUUUGUUGGUGACUCUGUGCAGUGAUCCAUCUCAACACUCCCAAUGGCCCAAACUCGAGCCUGGGAGGAGGUGGAACCCCACUGGAGUGGGACUUUAGGUCAGUGGUCUACCACUUUAGUUAGCCCUGCUGGGCAACUUGAGAACUAGGAUGCUGGAAAUUAAAGAACUCUGUAGAAGAUGGUAGUUGCUUACUUGCUUUGCAUCCAAUAACCCGGGUUGUGGUAGAGCAUAUCUUAUACUGUCACAGACUCACAGGGAAAUGAUGGUUAGUUCCUGAUUAAGAUACCCAUGAUAUUUUUGCAUAUGUGGCUACUCGAUGCUGCAUUUCAAUGGAUCAAGAUUGAUCAUUACUUUUGAUGCAUGUAACAUGGUUUUGGGUCCAAUGAUCCAUUGACAAAAUGUCCAAUGAAUAUAAUCUAUCUGUCUUAUUCUGAUGCUGUGGAAUAUAAUGUGCACUGAUGCCAAAAGAAGUCAUCACUGAGCUAGAUGAGGAGCUUUCUUGAGAUCUUUUCUGGAUUUGGGUGAUUAUUGGUUUCAUAAUUAACAGGUAUAGGCGGAUCCUCUUUCUUUUGGUUUGAUGGUAUGUGUAAUUUUGAUUAUUAUAUUGUACCUAUUACCAUCUUCCUUUUCUGAAACACUCAUGAAUCCAAUAAAUUUUAGCGUUUAUUAGGUCUGAGUUGAGAAGUUCCAUAAUCUUGCCCUUAACAACACAUUAUCAACUUGUAAAUUUGCUUUGAGGCCUUUCAAUCCCCUCUUUUAGAUAAAACUAACAUAGAAAGUGAAAGGGCAUCUACAGUCAUUUUCGUGCUUUUGUGACUAGCAAGUAGACUUAUGUUUUGUGCUAUCUUUUCUUCUUCUUGUUCUGUUCUUUUUCCCAGUGAAAGACUUGCAAUAUAGGAGUAGAGCAGAAUAUAUCAUUAUCAAACAAUAAUUAGCACACCAAUAAGCACUAGCUAAACUUUAAUCCGCAUAACAUAAUAGGAAUAUGCAAAAUUCAAAAGCAACGGCUAUUUCUCUCAUCCCCAUUAGGAUGUGGAUUCUAGCUAGCUAGUAUUAUUGAAGAGAAUUGUCUACCUUUAGAGAAUAGUCACAGAUAAAGAAUAAAGGAUGAAGAUUUGUGCGAGGUUUUCAUUGUAUACAAUAUUCAUAUUGUCUGGUUAAAAACGGUGAUUAGGAUUCCUCCUUAUCGAAUCCCAGGUGAACAUGGAUGCAUUUUGUGCUUACAUGUUUUGGCUAUGUGUGUGGUUUCAGCAAGUAACGGCCCUAUAGGUCGUCAAACAACUUCAAAUGUGUCAAACCCUCUAACGACUGUUCCUACUUUUCCAUUAUGAACACUAUUUUCAGUUGUUUUACUACAACUUCAAAAAAAUGGAACUUUUACAGAUGCUCUAAACUAGACAGGGACCUAGCUAGAGUGAUUUUUAUAAUUUAGGCAUAUAGUCAUUAUACUCUAUUGUUAGGCCUUCAAUUUACUAAGAAUCCUAAGAUCUUUAAUUUAGAUAUUCAAUGAUCAAUUUUAUACUCUGUUCUGGCUGCAUUUAAAACAUAUUUCUUAGUCUAUUUAUACAUUGCAUUGUUUGAUUGAGUAUAAUAACAUAUUUAUUCAUUAAUCCACUUUAUUAUAUAGUUUUUAAUGAGCUUUCAUCUUAUUUUCUUUUCCCAUUGUAUCUUAACACAAUGCCCAGAUCUUUAUCAUCAAAUGAUGCUGCUUAUGAUUAUUCCAAGAAAUGUGGCACAAAACUAUGCUACAACAAAAUAGGGGAUCUUGAUAAAGAGAAAACAUAUUUGCCAAAUCUGCCACCGGGUAGAAAGUUCUGGUUUCAAACCCCACAACAAGGCAUGUUAACUAUAGCCUAUGUUGUGACAACCCUAGCCGAGUCGGUCAGACUGUUGGCUUGGUAACCACAAGGUUCCAAGUUCAACUCCUAGUAGGAGCAGCCUAUUUGCCUUCUUGGUUUGAGUUGAUCAACUGCCUUAGUUUGAUCUCUUAAAGGUAGAUACACAUUUUUUAUGUGGAAGGGGAACUUGAAGAUUGCCACUGAAUAUGCAUCUUCAGUUUGCUUUUGAAUUAUUGAGAAUCAAAUCAAAAAGGGAGAAUAGAUAUUGGGUUCAUGAGCAUUAUGAGGAAUCGAUUCCCACAUGGAUAACACCGAUGCUAUGCACACACUUGGUGAAUGCGAGUGUGCACAUCCAUAUCAUCUUUACGUGGCUAGCAUCCAUUUUACUGGCAGAUGGAGGUGAAAUAUCCUUGUGCUCGCCUUCUAAAUAUGAUUUUCUCUUGUAAGUUCUCCUAGAAAUGGAUAUAGAACGGAACAUAAUAUUAAAACCAUUUAAGAUGAAAUUGUGGGGAAUCUGUAAAGAGGGGAAUAUAACUGUGGACUUAUGCUCGGGAAAUAUGUGCCUCUCUCCAUGCAUAAUUCGUUUAACAGUUGACAAAACAUAAAUUAGAGAGCCAACACUCCUGUCCAUAUGGUACUCCUGUUAAGGAAACCAUUUGAAAGUAUAAACGUAUGAAAAGAUUAUUUAGGGCCCCACCAGUAAGGUCGUUUGAUGUAUAUAUAAACCAUCCCAACUCAUUCACCAAAAGCCACCAGUUUCAGCAAGCAAUUCUUCUGUUUAAAGCUGUGUAAGGCCAGUGCUCUGCACCUUGUUCUUCCAAUCUUCCAUUUUUGUAGGUAAGGCAUUAUUAUUAGUGUUUUUUCUUAUGCAGUUUAUAUAAUUUCUUCAAUCUGGAAGUACACACUUCAUUCUUUCGGUUCAUACACUUGCCACAAUUUUGGAUUGGAAGAUUGAUGCAAACUAUUUUCUAGGAUCCAACUAUUCAACUUUGAUCAAUAACAAGAUUAAUGUGUGAAUUCUAGUAUUCCAUCAUUCACUUUGACAUGUCAGAAGGCUUUGCUUUUCAGAAAGAUGUGAUUAUUUUCCGAUGCACCUGAUAACUAAUGAAUACUACAAUCAUUAUUCUAUCUUGUUGCAUUUUUCUUUAAAAAUCCUGUUUGGUUUUGAAUAAAUAUACUUCGAACCUUUUGUUCUUGCCAUAUGUUUUAUUAUUUGAAUGUUCAAAUUUUCCAGAAACCAAGACAGUGAAUGAACCAAGAAGGAGAUUGGAUCUGUGCCGCUUGUCAACACAUAAAUUUUAAGAAACGAGAUGCAUGCCAUCGAUGCAAUUGUCCUAAGUAUGCUUCUGAAGCUGAUGCUGCUUUUUAUGGACGUAAUAAAUCAGAGGUCUUGCCCGGGGACUGGUACUGCAAUGCCUGUUGUGCUCACAACUAUGCAAGCCGACCGAAUUGCUACAGAUGUGGAGCCUCGAAAAGUGGCUAUUAUGGCCUUGGGGGUGGAAUGAUAACACCGGGAAGUUAUGGAUAUGAUGCAAGUGUCCCUCCGGGAUAUAAGAAAGGUGACUGGAUUUGCAACAGACAUGGAUGUGGUUGGCACAAUUAUGCCAGCAGAACGGAAUGUUAUAAAUGCAGGAAUCCUCGGGAUUUCAGUGAGCCAUCUUCCAUGUGAUUCGGGAGAUGAUCUCUAAAGAAAGUAAUUAAGGAAGAGAGGCAUAAUAUCCUAGAAUUACUAAGAAUCCAAAAACCCUUUCUUUCUUUUCUAUUUUCUCAUGUAUCUCUUGCCUUUUCUCAGUUGAAUAAUCUCUGACCAAUUUGCACUAGGAUGGUUUCUUACUAUAUUGUUGUAUGGUGCAAAAAAAAAGUCACUUGAAUGAAAUCCCCUUAUAUUUUCCACUGUCUUGUAUUUGAUGCUUCAAAUAUUCAAACUUUUAUAAUUGUGUGGCACCUUUUGUUGAUUAGUAAUGUGUAGGCUGUAACAUAUAACUGUAAAGAAAACUGCUUGGCAGUGUCAUUUUUAUUCAUGGAAAAAAAUGAUGUGUUCACCAA